UGGGGAAUAUUGGACAAUGGGGGGAACCCUGAUCCAGCCAUGCCGCGUGUGUGAAGAAGGCCUUAUGGUUGUAAAGCACUUUAAGCGAGGAGGAGGGUACUGGUAUUAAUACUACCAGGUACUGGACGUUACUCGCAGAAUAAGCACCAGCUAACUCUGUGCCAGCAGCCGCGGUAAUACAGAGGGUGCGAGCGUUAAUCGGAUUUACUGGGCGUAAAGCGUGCGUAGGCGGCUAAUUGAGUCGGAUGUGAAAUCCCCGAGCUUAACUUGGGAAUUGUAUUCGAUACUGGUUAGCUAGAGUGUGGGAGAGGAUGGUAGAAUUCCAGGUGUAGCGGUGAAAUGCGUAGAGAUCUGGAGGAAUACCGAUGGCGAAGGCAGCCAUCUGGCCUAACACUGACGCUGAGGUACGAAAGCAUGGGGAGCAAACAGG
rnacentral:rRNA from 1 species